AAUAGCCCGAUAUUUAAUUCCCCUGGUGAUUUUUCCCUUGAAGUUUUUACUAUGAUGCAGUAAUGCUUGCUGUCUCCUUUAAGAGUUUGAUCAUAUGCACGAGAAAGUGUGUGCGUCAGAGGUGAACAGAGAGCACACUGAUAGAAGCAGCAGUUACAAAUGAGGAGAAAAUAGUUGAUUAGAAAUUGCUAAACGGAUAUAAUCCAGGUUAAUUAUCAACUUGUGGACCUGUGGUGGUUUCAGUUGUGUGACUGCACGAGUAGAUGACUUAAUUCAGUGUUUAUAUUAGUGUUUGUUGCUGCAUAUGAGAAAUCUCCGGUGGGGGAGGGGAUUCAGGCCUACUUCAACGGAGAUUGAGCAAGGGAAUGCAAGAUUGUGAGAUCGCACGUGCCAGUUUCCACAUGAUUGAUAAUCCAAAGUCUCAUAUAACAGCACAUAUAAGCCACUGCCGUUGUUUUCACACCUUUAUUGGUUCUUUAACAUUGAUUGCACUAUUUCAAGUCAAAUUGGGACUUAUGAUCUGGUGUUUUGAUUAGAGAUUAUUACUGUAAAGGACUUAUUUUUAUUAUUUACAUUUCUUCAUAUAUGUUAUUUCACUUUCUGUGCCCAUUGAAGUGAACUGGGUAACAUCAUUUGUUUUGUUAUUCUGUUUUAUACAACUUCUCUUGUUUAAUUGGAUCUGAGUCCUAAGAAAAAGCUAUUUUUCCCUGAACCAAACAUUUAAUGCUGGGUCUUCUUGUGGGGCUCAGUCAAGAAUAAAAGAAUCCUUUUUUUAGUAGAUGUCUUGGCAUUGUCUCUUUCUUUUUCAGGUAUUAAGGACGUCAAGCCGGCCACAUCUCAUUUUCGAUGAUUUCUUUUUGUUACAAUAGUGCAAAAGUAGAAGGGUGUAAACAACGGUAGUGGUGAAGGGUGACUGAUUGCUGGAAGGACCUGCAGUGACAUCCUGACAGAAGUGCCGGCAGGACAAAGGGCCAGCACACCAAGUCUGCUGUGUGAGGACUUCGAGGAGGACAGUGCUUGUUUAAGUGACUAUUGGAGAACUGAGAUUUUCUGUGACUAUCGCUCAAAGUCAUGGAUGCUGAGGACAUGGACGGCGCAGCUGCUAUGGCGGAGGACAUUCAAGGUGCAGGUACUGCAGCACCGGAAAUGGACAUUGAGGGAGGUAACCCAGUCUCACAGUUUCAGUCUCACAGUUUCAGUCCCAGAUCACGGAGUUGGGGCGUAGACAUGAUGAAGUAAUGUCAGCACUUGCUGACAUGACUAAUGCUCAUACUAGAUCCUAUGUAUAUAUCCCAAGAGAGAGACAAAUUGUACCUUUCAGUGGGGACCCAGGUAAAGACUGCCAAAAUGUUGAGGAGUUCAUUGAGGAAAUUGGGAGGGUUAUACGAGUGAGGGGGUUGGGUACUGAGGAUCAGGUAGAUUUUAUCCUCUCCCACUUAAAGGGUUCAGCACUAGAAGAAGUCAGGCUGUGUAUGGGGGGGGUAAGCUGAAGAUCUCUUCUCAUAUUUGAGGGUAGCUUUCAGGGAAAAGCGUAGCACCUCCCAGUUGUUGUACACAUUUUAUGCAUGAAAACAAUUUGACGGUGAGUAUUUUUGUGAUUUUUCACAUGCACUGUCAUUGAUGUUAAAUGCUGCACUGCAACAAGCACCACAUUGUGUUCCAAAUAUGCAGCUGGCUUUGAGAGACCAGUUCAUAGAAGGGGUGAGGGAUUCAGCACUCCGGAGGGAACUGCGCAAAGUGGUUAGAGAGUGGCCUCAUGCUAUAUUAUUUGAAGUUCGUGAGGAGGCCCUGUUGUGGUGCUCAGAAGAGAGACCUCGUCCAGCUAAUGUGGUCCGAAACCUAGUGAGUGUGGAAGAAAGUGUAGAGCAUUCAAGGAUGACUGCCACUGUACCAAAUGACUUGACUGUAGCCCUACAAGAAGUAAUUAAGGUGAUUACACAAUAAGGGAAGGCUAUCGGGGACUUUACCAACGCUGUCCGUGAUCUCACGAUUCAAAGGUCUGACCCAACUUGUGAAAAAACUAGUAAGCCCAGGUUCAAGCCAAGGUAUACCCGAGACGGCCAACCCAUUUGUUCGAGAUGUGAGGGCAUUGGGCACAUAGUCAGGCAAUGCACUGGGCAGCGCUUUCAGGAACGCCCUGAGCCAGCAAUGUUUGAGUCUCCAUUUCCGGGAAACGGCGCACCUCCAUUGUGAAGAGCCGAGCAAUGAGAGGUGGAAUUGAUGGCUCAAAGACUAACACACUGACAAAAGAGUAGUUUCUGGAGCAUGUAGUGGGCAAAUGCCAAGAAGUGGAAAUACAUACUGGGGGGGUAGCAGU